rnacentral:tRNA from 1 species
GUUGUUAGUCGAUGUAGUGUUUUAAAAAGCAUGGUAAUUUUUCGUGUUACAGGUUUUCUAUUUGAAAUUUCGAUG